UACUUCAAUUAACUAAUUCCUCAAAUAAUUAAAAAUCAUGAAACGGAAAAUACAAAAAUAAUAAAGUUUCAAAGUCCGAAUUGAAAAUACUGAAUCAAGUGACAUAGCUCAAUUGUUAUAAAAAUUUAACAACAUAAUUAAAUAAAAGUUUUUCCCAACAACAUCCUAACAGAGCGACUCCAAAUAAAUAGCAAAGCAACAGUUAUCCGAACACACCAUCUAUGAUUCGUCUCCUACCUGAAAAUCUACGGUUGCACACCGUAGGGCCAAGCCAGAAGGGGAAAUGUAAAGGUGAGUCAAAAUACAUCAAGAAAGUAACUGAAUUAAAACAACUCAAUAACUAACAACAUCAUAAACAACAACAAGACCACCUAAGCGGAUGGCCACGCACAUUCAUCAGUCAACCACAAUCAUCAAUCGUUAAUUAAAUAAAGAUAAAUAACAACAACAUUUAAAUAAAGAAAUAUAAUUAAAAUGCAUGCAAUACGCCUAGACUCGCUACAUGCAUGUGGUACUAAUUGCAACGUCAUUUCUAGUUUUACAUCAUAGAGGAUCAACGUCAUUAUUUUCAACUUCAUUAAGCAAUAUCAUUUUCAACGUCAUUAAGAAACAUCAUUUUCAACGUCAAUUAUACAACUUCAAUAGGCAACGUCAUUGGACACAUGAAUGAAUGCAUGUCAUGUUAUAAUAAGCAACUUCAAUAGGCAACAUCAUUUAACAACUUCAAUAGACAACUUCAUCAUCAUUAUAGCAACAUCAAUAAACAACGUCCUUAGGCAACAACAACAACACACCGGCCUACAACUCAAUUCCUAUCUCUCUAAAGUUUCGACUCAGCCAAUUAACCUUGCUGGACAGCAAGAUAACAUCCAAACAGUCCCUAACAUGCCCCGUUCCAUUUUUAAUUUAAUUUAAGUAGCGAAAUUUGUGAAAAAUAUUCAUUGAAUAGAACCAGGGAGAGUGAGGUAUCCCAAACCGUUCCAAAUUAUUCAACAUACUGUGCAUAAAAUUUUAAUAAAUUUUCACGAAAUUGUAAUAUUUUUAAUCACCUUUUUACUCCAAAUAAUUAAUUAAAAAUAGCUACGAGUGUCCAAAAAUUACAAAAUAGGUACCAACAUUUCAAGAAAAUUAUUUACUAUUUUUCGGUAAAACAAUUUUAAAAACAAUGAUCACCCGAGACCAUUCACGCGCCCCCACACGCCUGAAUCGCAAGUGGGCGAAGCCAACCCGCUACUGUUCAUCUCCUUCACCCGUUUCAUUGCAAAACGGGUCUCUCGACCCGGUUCCUCGACCCGACUCGUUCUCUCUCAUUUUUCAACGAAAAUUGACAUUCUUUAUACCGUUUUGAUCGUCAUUGAAUUCUAGGAAUAUACCCGAUAUUUAUUUUUAGAAAAGACACUCGAAUCGAAUGUUUUACAUAACAAAAGCUUCACACGAAUUUUUUAAACAAACACCAUUGAUGGUUGUUCAAAUGCUUCGGUUUUGACAUUCUUUCGACCUAGAAAAAUCCUAGAAUUGCCUUAGAAUCGUAUUUGAUGCUCAACACGUUAUGAAACCGUUUCUUUAGAAUUAUCAUCAAAAUCCCAAAAACCCCAUUAUUUGAAUUUCUCAAGAACAACACCAAUCCAUGGUUUUAUUUUACUCAACAUCGAAACACGAAUUGCAGCAACAACAAAAGCAUAAAAACAUUAUCAUAACAAAUUAUGAAAUCGAAAUUAAGAAUAAGUAUUGAAACAACAACAACAUCACAUAAUGGUAGGAGAAAGUAUAAGAACAACAACUUAAGCACAUACAUAAUCAAUACAAAGUAUGCCUAUUGAAUUCAGAGUUUUCAAGAGUAUAAAGCUCCCUUACUUGGAGUGCAGUGAAUUCCCUAUAUUGAGGUUAAACUCUUCCUUCCCUUUCUUCUCUUCACUCUCCCACGAGCUUUCUCUCUUCUCCUAUCCUUGCACUAUUUUUCUGUGUGUUUGUUUUUGUUAUUGGAUCAUCCUACUGAAAUUUUCC
rnacentral:lncRNA from 1 species